rnacentral:rRNA from 1 species
UACGUAGGGUGCAAGCGUUGUCCGGAAUUAUUGGGCGUAAAGAGCUCGUAGGCGGUCUGUUGCGUCGGCUGUGAAAACCCGGGGCUCAACUCCGGGCCUGCAGCCGAUACGGGCAGACUAGAGUUCGGUAGGGGAGACUGGAAUUCCUGGUGUAGCGGUGAAAUGCGCAGAUAUCUGGAGGAACACCGGUGGCGAAGGCGACAUCCUGGACCGGUAUUGACGCUGAGGCGCGAAAGCCAGGGGAGCAAACGGG